rnacentral:misc_RNA from 1 species
AAGUCGUAACAAGGUUUCCGUAGGUGAACCUGCGGAAGGAUCAUUACUAAGUAACGGAGGCUUCGGCCUUCUCACUACUUAACCCAUGUCUUUUGCGUACUAUUCGUUUCCUUGGUAGGCUUGCCUGCCAUUAGGACACUUUACAACCUUUUGUAAUUGCAGUCAGCGUCAGAAAAACUAUAAUAGUUACAACUUUCAACAACGGAUCUCUUGGUUCUG